UACGGAGGGGGCUAGCGUUGUUCGGAAUUACUGGGCGUAAAGCGCACGUAGGCGGCUUUGCAAGUUAGAGGUGAAAGCCCGGGGCUCAACUCCGGAAUUGCCUUUAAAACUGCAUCGCUAGAAUUGUGGAGAGGUAAGUGGAAUUCCGAGUGUAGAGGUGAAAUUCGUAGAUAUUCGGAAGAACACCAGUGGCGAAGACGACUUACUGGACACAUAUUGACGCUGAGGUGCGAAAGCGUGGGGAGCAAACAGGG
rnacentral:rRNA from 1 species